ACGCUCGACACCUACGGGAGGCAGCAGUGAGGAAUAUUGGUCAAUGGGCGCAGGCCUGAACCAGCCAAGUAGCGUGAAGGAUGACUGCCCUAUGGGUUGUAAACUUCUUUUAUAUGGGAAUAAAGUUUUCCACGUGUGGAAUUUUGUAUGUACCAUAUGAAUAAGGAUCGGCUAACUCCGUGCCCGCAGCCGCGGUAAUCUGAGCGGGCUGGCAAGGC
rnacentral:rRNA from 1 species